CCCCCGUCUCUACAAAAAAUAAAAACUUAGCUGGGCGUGGUGGUGCAUGCCUGUGGUCCCAGCUACUCUGGAGGCAGAAGUGGGAGGAUCACUUGUGCCCAAGAGGCUGCAGUGAGCCAUGAUGGCGCCACUGUCUUCCAGCCUGGGCGACAGAGUGAAACCCUGUUCAAAAAAACUAAUAACAACAACAGCAACAACAAACGAAACAGAGCUGAGCUAAUAUGGUAGCCACAGAUUAAAAUAAACUAAAAAAUCCAGUUCCUUGGUCACUGUAGACACAUUUUAAGUGAUCGGUAGCCAUCUGUGGCUAGUGGCUACUGUACUGGACAGCACAGACAUAGAACAUUUCCAUUAUCACUGAAAGUUGUAUUGCCCAGCGCAGCUCCAGAAGCUCACUCGCUAAAGAGAGAGACACACAGGAGAGCAGACCAGACAACACAGUGUUGUGUGGGCUGCAAUGUCCUCCUCGGUAAAAAGCAGGUGAUGAGGCGGAGAUUAAAGGAGAUGCCAGGAGAAUGCUUAGCCUAGUUCCUGACUCAGGGUGAGUGCUCGGAGGACAUCUGCCAUCACCGUACAGGACAGUACUAUAGGAUCUGUUUACAUACCUAUCUUCCUAGCAGACUGUGAGCUCCGCCCAGCCCUGGCAUGGUGCCGGGCACAGAGCAAGUGCUCAGGAAAUAGUAGCUGUUAUCAGCACCAUUGUUAUUAUCACCACUGCUAUGACAGAGGCAGCCGAGGGCUGUGGGAACACAGAAGAGGGCUCCCAUCCCAGCCCCAGGGCCAGGGGCUGCUGAGAGUCGGCAUUGCCAGAGCCAGGCUGGGUGGCUUUGUGGUCCCCUCAGGGGCAGGCCUAGGGCGGGGUCCUCUUCACACCCUUAGGGUCUGGGUACAGGGUCCAGCUGGAGCAAGCUGGGGCUCAGGGAAUAGUUGUGGAAGGAGCUCUAGCCUCCAGGAACUCCAGCCCCCUUGAGGAAAGACCAGGUGAGUGGGCAAGAUGGUCUGAGGGUUGCAGAGCUGAACAGGGCAUGAAGGGCACAGAGGCAGAGCCAGAGGGAGACUCGCGCUGGGACUACCAGAGUGCAGCCAUAUUUGGAGUACCCCUGUUUUUACUGCAGACUCCCCAGGCAUCAAAGUCUGUGGGAGACAGAGCAGAUUUGGGGAGGGCAGGCUGCAGGGAACCUCCCUGCAGGUGGCCGUGAGUGCCAGCCUGGCCGUUACCAGCCUCCCAUGGCUCUUCAGGAUUCCAGAGGCUCAGAGCAGCCAUUCACAGCCGCCCACUCCUAGGAAGCCAGCCCCUCCCUGCACCAGAGCCCAGCCCAGCACGGUCUCCGGGGAUGUAGCUGGUGGGACAGUGAGCAGAGGGCUGGGCCCUGUGCCUGGGGACUGUGGCCUGGAGGCUGAGCAGGAGCUGAGGAGGGGACCAGAGGGACAAGGCCCCUAAGCUGGCCACCAUGGCCAGACUCUGAGUGCAGGGGAGGUGAGGGGCCUGCGUGUGCCUUAUCUUCCCAGACACACUGGAUCCUUCUUGUCCUCUGAUCAAGGUAGGUG
rnacentral:lncRNA from 1 species